rnacentral:rRNA from 1 species
CAACCGGAACUGUUUGGAAAGACAGGCCAUAGUGGGUGACAGCCCCGUACGGGUAAUUCAAUCAUCAGUCCUCGAGUAGGGCGGGACACGUGAAAUCCUGUCUGAACGUGGGGGGACCACCCUCCAAGCCUAAGUACUCCUUGACGACCGAUAGUGAACCAGUACCGUGAGGGAAAGGUGAAAAGCACCCCGACGAGGGGAGUGAAAGAGACCUGAAACCGGAUGCUUACAAGCAGUGGGAGCCUCCUUGAGGGGUGACCGCGUACCUUUUGUAUAAUGGGUCAGCGAGUUGAUUUUGCGAGCAAGCUUAAGCCGUUAGGUGUAGGCGGAGCGAAAGCGAGUGUUAAUAGCGCGAUGUAGUUCGUAGGAUCAGACCCGAAACCCGGUGAUCUAGCCAUGAGCAGGUUGAAGGCGGGGUAACACCCGCUGGAGGACCGAACCCACCUAUGUUGAAAAAUGGGGGGAUGACUUGUGGUUAGGGGUGAAAGGCCAAUCAAACCGGGUAAUAGCUGGUUCUCCGCGAAAACUAUUUAGGUAGUGCGUCACGUAUUACCGCCGGGGGUAGAGCACUGGAUGGGCUAGGGGGUCCCACAGACUUACCAAACCUAACCAAACUCCGAAUACCGAUGAGUAUAAGCAUGGCAGACAGACGGCGGGUGCUAAGGUCCGUCGUCGAAAGGGAAACAGCCCAGACCACCAGCUAAGGUCCCCAAAUCACGACUAAGUGGGAAAGGAUGUGGGAAGGCCAAGACAACC